rfam:Gloeocapsa sp. PCC 73106 scaffold_00185, whole genome shotgun sequence.
GCGGGUGUAGUUUAGUGGUAAAACCUCAGCCUUCCAAGCUGAUGAUGGGGGUUCGAUUCCCCCCACCCGCU